rnacentral:rRNA from 1 species
CCUACGGGGUGCAGCAGUGAGGAAUAUUGGUCAAUGGCCGCAGGGCUGAACCAGCCAAGUCGCGUGAAGGAUGACGGUCCUAUGGAUUGUAAACCUCUUUUGUCAGGGAGCAAAGGGCGCCACGUGUGGCGUUUUGCGAGUACCUGAAGAAAAAGCAUCGGCUAACUCCGUGCCAGCAGCCGCGGUAAUACGGAGGAUGCGAGCGUUAUCCGGUUUUAUUGGGUUUAAAGGGAGCGCAGGCGGAAUGUAAAGUCAGCGUGAAAAUUUCGGGGCUCAACCCCGUAGUGCCGUUGAAACUGGCGGUCUUGAGUGAGCGAGAAGUAGGCGGAAUGCGUGGUGUAGCGGUGAAAUGCAUAGAUAUCACGAAGAACUCCGAUUGCGAAGGCAGCAUACCGGCGCUCAACUGACGCUCAUGCACGAAAGCGUGGGUAUCGAACAGGAUUAGAUACCCGAGUAGUC